AGGCGAGGCGCUGCGUUGCCCUUCAGGAGACAGUUGGCUAGAAGAAGAAAAGAAGUGUUCGUUCAAAUUAAGGAGAGAAAACGGGAGCAGAGCAGCUUUCAGGCUUUCCGUCAAAUUCCCUUUUCUCCUUCCCUCUUGAGAAAGUCUCUGAAGGGAAUGGUUCAGCCUGACGGGGUGGAGCAGUGACGCCCGGGCUACGCGCCAGGGUUGCCUGGCAGCCAGGAGUUCGAGGACCGGCGGCGGGGCGGGGCCUGUCUCCGGGCACCCGGGACGCCCGUAGCCUGGCGGAGAGCGCCAGAGAGGGCCCCUGAAAAACCGGACCAGGGAAGAGGGUACCUCGGGGCGGAUGAGGGGACAGCUGCUAAGGGCCGAGGCUGCUGGGAAGCCUCAGUAGCGGCCGUGAAUACAGUGGAGCUCUGGCGCUGCUUAUUUCGGCCUAACUCUUAGUUUCCUCAUCUGAACAACCCCAGGCUCCCAUGAUGGCUAUGUGAUCCACCGGACUAAUGAGACAGAAGACAGUGUCCUUUGGAAGACAUUUGUAAAAGAACCCUCCCCCCACCAUUUAAAAAAAAGGAAAAGAAAAAAGGAGAGUUACAGGAGAGUCCUCCUCCUCCCUUCCUUUGCUGUCAUUAUUGGGAGUACAGAGGAAGGAUCCAAGGAGCAAGACACAGAAUUCUGAGGAGGAUGUUCCAUUGGCUGCUACUGGCCAUACUUUGGAAGAUCAGAGGAGGGUUCCCACAGAGCUGGAACUCACCUCUGAGAAGAGGAUAUUGCUCAGCUGCUUCUCGUGCCUCCAAGUGAACACAAUAGUGAUGCUGAUUCGUGAAGUUAGAAAGAAUGUGGAAACUAGAAAACCACAGCUAUAACCAACUGCUGCUGCUAAGCCUGGCAUAAGGGUUGGAAUUACAAGUCAGACAGGGCUGAGCAGCAAUCUUCAAGAAAAUUACUCUAAAUUGGCCUUCAUUAGCUCUCACGGCACUGAAAAACAACUCCAAUGCAUGCCUAUGGAAGGGAUUUCUUUGAUGGAAUUUUCCUGCUUAUCUAAAGCUUCAAGCAGCCUAAAGAAAACAGCAGAGCCACUAUCUUCAGGCUUGACCUCCGUCUUCUUACCAGUAAAAUGAGCAGCUAAGGCAACUCUUGGAGGUUUGAGGCUUGAGACGUGUGCCUGGAACCUGAAUAGCAGUAAGACCAGACUUUCCACAGCUUUAGGGCGCGUUCUUACAGGUGCCAGCGGUGCGACUACAUCCACUCACGGUUUUUUGCCUAUUUUCUAGGAGUUACAAAGCGCAUUCGCAAACAUCCUUGCAAAAUCGCAAAGAAGUGUCCACUGCUGCUUUAGAGCUGGCCAAAAGGAUGAGCCAAAGAGGCUUCUACUCUGUCCUGAUAAUCAAAUGUUUUCAACCUCCCUCCGUGGGCACCUUCAACUUAUUUAUGUCUAAAAAUAUAUUGUCAAG
rnacentral:lncRNA from 1 species